UGUAACUGUCACUCAAGCAUCUGAGUCCAUCCCCUGUGUAACUGUCACUCAAGCAUCUGAGUCCAUCCCCUGUGUAACUGUCACUCAAGCAUCUGAGUCCAUCCCCUGUGUAACUGUCACUCAGGCAUCUGAGUCCACCCCUGUGUAACUGUCACUCAAGCAUCUGAGUCCACCCCCUGUGUAACUGUCACUCAAGCAUCUGAGUCCACCCCCUGUGUAACUGUCACUCAAGCAUCUGAGUCCAUCCCCUGUGUAACUGUCACUCAGGCAUCUGAGUCCAUCCCCUGUGUAACUGUCACUCAGGCAUCUGAGUCCAUCCCCUGUGUAACUGUCACUCAGGCAUCUGAGUCCACCCCCUGUGUAACUGUCACUCAAGCGUCUGAGUCCACCCCUGUGUAACUGUCACUCAAGCAUCUUCCUCCAGAUGGAGACGAUAACUUUCGGAAAUCCUGUUAAAGAAGAGGGCUGGUUUCGUAGAUGCUUCUAGGAGAAAUAAUCCUGUCUUCUGACAACAGGCAAUCUUCAAAGCCUGCAGAGCUGUCUCCUGAGCCCCGUAGUCAGCCUGUGAACUCAUUGCUCUGGUUCAGUUGACCCAGAUGUUUACUAUCUGGUGUGACCUCAGGAACAGUGUAGAUCACAGAAUCUUAGGAGAGCUAACUCUGGGGUUACAGUUGGGAAAGCGAAGUCUUGGCCGAGCUUCUGUGACUAUUUAUAGAAAAAAUCUGCUUUCUUUCAGGCCAAAAGUCUUCCCAAAUGAGUAACAGAGACCCCGUGUUCAGAUGUGCAUUUCUGGGCAUUUGGAUGUUUAUAAAUGGUUGUCUCUUAGAUCGUUCUCCAAAAAAUGUCUUUCUCUAUAUACCAGAGGACACUGUUUUUACCAAACAAGAUACCAGGCCAUUGUCACUAUGGGAUCAAGACUUCAAAGAGGCUGUUUCUUCUCUUUCUCUGGGUGUUCUGGAAGAGUACCUAUAACCCCACACAAGGUCCGGCGUGAAGCUGAAGGUGAAGGCAGUUAGAAUGGUAGCUUCCAGGUGCCAUGAGACUGGAGACAGUCACAGGCCACGGCAGGUGCCACAGAUCUGGAUUUCCUCCAUGGUUCCUAAUUCGGAAAAGUUAAUAAAUAGACUAAUGAGCCCUUAUUAUAAUAGAGUAUCUAAGACGAUUGUCAAGAGGAAAAGCUUACAGUUUGGCCACGUUUGGCUGACUCCAUUCCUUUCGGGUCUUAAGGGGAGACCACGCGGCAUGGCUGGCAGUUGUGUUGAAACAAAAGGCAGUCUCUUUGUGGCCCAGACAGGAAAAGGAGAGAAGGGAGCAGGCAGGGCACAUUCCUCGGAGGACAUGCCUUUAUGACUGGAUGACAUUUCUCUUUUAAAACCUUCACUACCGUCAAUAGUGCCAAGAAAGUUUGCACAUGGAUCAGCAGAAGCAUUUGUGAUCCAGAGGAUAGCAUGCAGUGUCACCUUCAUGGACGAUAGGAGGUCCUGUAUUAAGAAGAUUUGCUUACUGAUGUUGAGGACCAAUUGUCUUACCAGAUGAGAACCCUGUGAAUUGUACAGUUGACCAGUGUGGCAAGUUAUACCCAGGUACAGUAGUGGCACCGAUGUUACGCGAGUAACCAAAGACUUUCUGGGAGGAUUUAAGGCCUGCUCCACAGGAGAAAUGCUGGCCUGUUGUUGUCAGUUCACUCAAGAGCCCAUGGCUGCACAGCUCUUAGGCCCAGGGAUGAACCCACUACUAUUAUUUUGCUAUAGACAAGGUAUUAAAGCAACCUCUAAAUCUG